GAUGAACGCUGGCGGCGUGCUUAACACAUGCAAGUCGAGCGAUGAAGUUUCCUUCGGGAAACGGAUUAGCGGCGGACGGGUGAGUAACACGUGGGUAACCUGCCUCAUAGAGUGGAAUAGCCUUCCGAAAGGAAGAUUAAUACCGCAUAAUGUUGAAAGAUGGCAUCAUCAUUCAACCAAAGGAGCAAUCCGCUAUGAGAUGGACCCGCGGCGCAUUAGCUAGUUGGUGGGGUAACGGCCUACCAAGGCGACGAUGCGUAGCCGACCUGAGAGGGUGAUCGGCCACAUUGGGACUGAGACACGGCCCAGACUCCUACGGGAGGCAGCAGUGGGGAAUAUUGCACAAUGGGGGAAAUCCUGAUGCAGCAACGCCGCGUGAGUGAUGAAGGUUUUCGGAUCGUAAAGCUCUGUCUUUGGGGAAGAUAAUGACGGUACCCAAGGAGGAAGCCACGGCUAACUACGUGCCAGCCGCCGCGGUAAAAC
rnacentral:rRNA from 1 species